GAUGGGUUGUUGCUGGUUCUNCAGGGAGCAUGUGCACGCCUUGUCAUCUUUAUAUCUCCACCUGUGCACUUUUUGUAGACCUUUCAGGUCUAUGUUGCUUCAUUUACCCCAAUGUAUGUUAAUAGAAUGUUGUGCCUAUAUAAUAUAUACAACUUUCAGCAACGGAUCUCUUGGCUCUCGCAUCGAUGAAGAACGCAGCGAAAUGCGAUAAGUAAUGUGAAUUGCAGAAUUCAGUGAAUCAUCGAAUCUUUGAACGCACCUUGCGCUCCUUGGUAUUCCGAGGAGCAUGCCUGUUUGAGUGUCAUUAAUAUAUAUAUCAACCUUCUCUUUGUUGAGUGGUUUGGAUGUGGGGGUUUGCUGGUGGCCUCUUAGGAGGGUUCAGCUCCCCUGAAAUGCAUUAGCNGAACAAACCUUGUUCAUUGGUGUGAUAACUAUCUACGCUAUUGAAUGUGAGGGGCAGUUCAGCUUUCUAACGGUCCUUUGGGACAGAUUCAUCAUUAAUGUGACCUCAAAUCAGGUAGGACUACCCGCUGAACUUAAGCAUAUCAAUAA
rnacentral:rRNA from 1 species